UACUGCACCAGCGGACGUGAAAGGGGGCCGGCUUUAAAAACAAAUCCAAGAUGGCUACUUGUGAGUGUUCAGCACAAAUGUCCUUGUUUAUUUUCCGCUCUCCUUGUUGGUAAGAGUUUCUGCUGCUUUACAAAUGUGAAAGGGUUCAAAGCACACACUAAGCCUGAGUGCUCCCAGCUCGGAGUAUAUGUUUUUCCUAGAUACAGAGUUCGGAUCAGUUUAGUUUCUACUAGCCAAGUAAAGAUUGUUGGGAGGUGGGGGGACGACACCAAUCACAGCACCAGCACGGCCCUGCUCUUCUGCAUAAUCCCCAGCCUGCCCAGCGGCUCGGUAAAAGGCAAUUGUUAAAGCUUUUAGAUACUACCUCAGAAAGUGCUGUGUGUUUGAAGCAUAUGAGUCUUAUCGGGGCGCUUCCAGAGAAUAACUGUCAAUGAGACUGCUAACCAAGGUGCUUUAUCUUUAUGUUAUGGCACUUUUUGUCUGCUUCUGUUGAGAAGAAUAUACAUGUGAAAUGACCGUUCCCGUAAUUAUUAUCUGUUGUUGUUAGCAUUAACAGGAUCCACUUUAAAGUGUUAAGGUAAGUGAUAAAAUAGUUAAAACGCAUUCUAGCUGGGCUUAGAAAUCAUUGUAAAGCUCUUGUUCACCCCCCCCCCCCCCCUUGCUCAGAACAUGAGAACAUGUGAAAGCUGGUGGUUCCUUUUAACAUGAGUCUUCAAUAUUCCCAGGUAAGAAGUUUUAGGUUGUAGUUAUUAUAGGACUAUUUCUCUCUAUACCAUUUGUAUUUCAUACAGUGGGGAGAACAAGUAUUUGAUACACUGCCGAUUUUGCAGGUUUUCCUACUUACAAAGCAUGUAGAGGUCUGUAAUUUUUAUCAUAGGUACACUUCAACUGUGAGAGACGGAAUCUAAAACAAAAAUCCAGAAUGUAUGAUUUUUAAGUAAUUAAAACCUUCCAGAGAGAGACAAGGCAGCAGUCUCCUACCCCGAGAGGUUCGUACUGCACAUUGUUCUCAACUCACUACAACACAUAAAGACAUGAGUGUAUUUCUCAUUAACGUGAUGUUUCCUUUUUGUUAACUUCAUCUGCCUUCAGCUCCCUGCUUGGCCAAGGCUCUGGACCUGCUCAGUGGCCCAACACCAGCAGGACAGUGGAGGCCAUUUUCGUUGAGCUGUGCCACAAAUACCCUGCAGGCUGUGCUUGUGAACCGGGUCAACAGGUGGGCUGCUAUCCUGGGGGAUUACAAGAGAAUCAGGACCAUGGUGCUGGGCAGCCCAAACCUGAUUACCCACACAAGGCUGCAACUGUUCCAGAGGUGCAACAAACCAAUGGCCCCCAUUGGAGAGAGUGACGACACCAGACCCAGGACAGCAUGACUGCAGAGAGGGAGGAGUCAGGCCUUAUCCACACUGAACAUCACCGCUGCCAGCCUCAUCAACCAGCAGCACCUACCAUCUGCCAGAGGACAGAACGGGGCAGGCUACACAGUGUGGUAGAGCAGCCACUAGUCAGUCACUACCACCUCUACCUCUACCUAGUCUGCCUACCACCUCCUAUCCUAUUUCUCCAGUCUCCCAAGACCUGCACUCCUCUGCCCCCUCCUGCUCGUGGACCCAAAGUAUCCAGGACCACUGAAUGGAGGAGGAGGCUGGAGUCUGGGAAUAAAGUCAGGGCUCACAAGCUGUAUGAAGGACACAACUGCUCUAAAUGUGACAAGCCUAAGUAUGUAUGGAACUGUGAGAUUCUGUGCCUCUACCUCUGGCAGCCAAUCGAUGGAGGAGUGGCUGGCACCGAUGAGGUCCCAGCAUGGUGUUUGCCAGGGCCAGUAAACAUCGACUGACUGACUGCUGUGUACAUUUUUUUACUUGAGAGGACCAGCAGAUACGAGGUGACAGCAGGGAGUCACCGCCCCCCAGUGACGCCCACUCAUCUCUGAUUGGUUGCUGCACACCAUUUGUUGUACUCCCGGCGUCAGAGGGAGAGGAUGGUGCUGCAGCAGGGAUUGGGACUCGCUCCUGCCCCCCAGGGUCAAUGCCCAGCCCCUCCCUGCAGCCAAGCCCCUUCACUACCAGCGGGAGGGGAUCCAGGCACCUUUCCCUACACCGCCGGUCCCACGCCAGGCCACCCAGCAAGGACGGCCCGCACAUUCUGCCCGCUCACCUGGAUCAACAACCCCCCCCCAGCACUUCCCGGCCCUAUAGUGAUGGCAAAACAAUUUAUUUUCAGGGUUGAACUGAUGACACCUGCUCAACAUCCUGGCUCAUGGCAGACAUUGAACAACUCCUUCAGAUUGCUAUCAAAGACUAUGUAUUUCUGAUCUUGCACGCACUCUUCGAUAGUAUAUCUUGGCUCGAACUGUGACGAUUGUGAUUCUGAGCUCUCAGGUUCUCACAGAGAGUUCUGGUCUUCACUGAUCUCACUCUCCGUCAGCUCCCUCUCUGGCGUAUAGGGGCAGGACUCGGUAGUAUACUGAUGGUAUUCGUCGUAAUCUAGCUGGGCCCCGAGCUCUUUAGUGCUGGUCCCGGUGGAUCUCUUCUCCACAGCACAGGAACACUCUGGCACCCAGGGGUCAGUUUGGCAUGCUGUACUAACCGUUCUUUCCUGUUGGUAGAAAACAAUUAAGGCAUCU